rnacentral:rRNA from 1 species
CCGAACCUACGGGGGGCAGCAGAGGGGGAUAUUGCACAAUGGGCGAAAGCCUGAUGCAGCGACGCCGCGUGAGGGAAGACGGUUUUCGGAUUGUAAACCUCUGUCGAGGGGGACGAAGGAAGUGACGGUACCCCUUGAGGAAGCAACGGCUAACUACGUGCCAGCAGCCGCGGUAAUACGUGGGGGGCAAGCGUUGUCCGGAAUUACUGGGUGUAAAGGGAGCGUGGGCGGGAAUGCAAGUGGAAGUUAUAUACGGUCG